rnacentral:rRNA from 1 species
CCCUAGUAACGGCGAGUGAAGCGGCAACAGCUCAAAUUUGAAAUCUGGCUCUUUUAGAGUCCGAGUUGUAAUUUGCAGAGGGCGCUUUGGCUUUGGCAGCGGUCCAAGUUCCUUGGAACAGGACGUCACAGAGGGUGAGAAUCCCGUACGUGGUCGCUGGCUAUUGCCGUGUAAAGCCCCUUCGACGAGUCGAGUUGUUUGGGAAUGCAGCUCUAAAUGGGAGGUACAUUUCUUCUAAAGCUAAAUAUUGGCCAGAGACCGAUAGCGCACAAGUAGAGUGAUCGAAAGAUGAAAAGCCCUUUGGAAAGAGAGUCAAACAGCACGGGAAAUUGUUGAAAGGGAAGCGCUUGCAGCCAGACUUGCUUACAGUUGCUCAUCCGGGUUUCUACCCGGUGCCCUUUUUUGUAGGCAGGCCAGCAUCAGUUUGGGCGGUAGGAUAAAGGUUUUUGUCACGUACCUCCUUUCGGGGAGGCCUUAUAGGG